AGUUACCAACCAGACAAGAUAACCCGUAUGAAGUAGGCGGCAUGCUGUCUCCCAUCCUGGUAUCAGCAGAGUGAGCACAAGUACGCUUUCUAAGAAGUCUAACUCUUCACGCCAAUGAGAGAAUUACAUCAGCAUCGGUCGUUCCCUGAAACUCGGUGCCCAGCGCCUGUGACAGCUCAUCGAAUGCCGCCACCGACGGGGUCGGGGCUGCCCCGCCUGUGAGUCAGAUACGCUGGGCCUCAGGUCACACUGGCCCAUUGGACAGUUGUCGCCAAAGACAGUUUCCCGUGGAGUCAUCUGCGGCCUGGGACACUCCCCCAGGUGGGAUUCGAGUGUGGCAGCCAAUGACUCAAAACGCAAGUGAGAGCAUCAAGACCAGUGCGCUAGGAACGUGGGAAGGUGAAAUCAGCCUCAACAACGCCGAUGGCACAAGGACUUCGCCAGCUGCCCUUCUGGGCCGCGUGAUGCUCCUGCUUGUCUGACGACGGAAUACCAGCGCUCGCCUGUGCGUCUGUGCGUCUGUGCGUCUGUUGUCUGUGCGUCUGUCGUCUGUGCAUCUGUGCGUCUGUGCGUUUGUCAUCUGAGCCAGACACUGAAGAGUCAGGGGCCAGUGGAGUCGCCCCGGUUUCACUAGAUCCUUCCUGCUUUGUCCAGGCCUGCCAGCCUCACUUUGCAACAAUGGCCAUUCAGAAUUCUCUUCCCGGGCACUGGAUAUUUCCCUCCCUUUUUAGGAAGUUCGCUUCUGAUACCUUCCUAACCACCAGAGAGUCAGGAACCAAAUUGUCCAUGGACCUCAGUCCCUUAGAGAUGGGUACACCAUGCCCGGUACAGUCCAAGAAUGUGAUCGACAUGGCCACCCCCUUACCACCCUCCUGAGCUGCUGUUGCAACGCCAUCCAUGUCACCCACCCUGUGUGCGUGUGUGUCUGGAUGUGCAAAACACCCAUCGUAUUUCCUGAUAAUAUCUCUGUGCAGACACGGUAUCCAUGGCCAAUAAAAUAGGGCCUGUUGUGGAAAGCCCCGGAGAGCCGUACAAAUAACCACCAGUGAGCACCGUAUUAGAUGAAAGCCAAUUAAAAAUGAUGUAUUAAACAUGGUGCUGCAGAGUGGUGAGCCCGGAGUUUCAUCUCAGCUCCCUCAAAGAGAUGUUCCCAAUGCUCGUUCUCUGGUGACUCAUCAUUUACCUCCCCGAAAGACCAGCGGGACCUCCCUGCCUUCCUGCCAUUCGCCCUUCCCACUCACC